CCUACGGGAGGCAGCAGUGAGGAAUAUUGGUCAAUGGACGAGAGUCUGAACCAGCCAAGUAGCGUGAAGGAUGACUGCCCUAUGGGUUGUAAACUUCUUUUAUAUGGGAAUAAAAUGUUCCACGUGUGGGAUUUUGUAUGUACCUUAUGAAUAAGGAUCGGCUAACUCCGUGCCAGCAGCCGCGGUAAUACGGAGGAUCCGAGCGUUAUCCGGAUUUAUUGGGUUUAAAGGGAGCGUAGGUGGAUUGUUAAGUCAGUUGUGAAAGUUUGCGGCUCAACCGUAAAAUUGCAGUUGAAACUGGCAGUCUUGAGUACAGGAGAGGUGGGCGGAAUUCGUGGUGUAGCGGUGAAAUGCUUAGAUAUCACGAAGAACUCCGAUUGCGAAGGCAGUUCACUGGACUGCAACUGACACUGAGGCUCGAAAGUGUGGGUAUCAAACAGGAUUAGAUACCCGGGUAGUC
rnacentral:rRNA from 1 species